CCAGGGCACAUGCUCAAGGACCUACCCCCU
rnacentral:piRNA from 1 species